UGUAGGUUUCCCUCUCAAAGACACCCUGCUACCUGCUACUGCUGCAAGUGCAACCUCACCUGAUCAUCACAUCAAGAUGGCAUCAAGUCUUCAUUUGAUCAUGGUCCUCUGUUUGACCAGUGGACUGUGGAUUGGAAUGGCGGAUUGUAGUGAUGAUCACCAUGAUCACCAUGACCACCAUGAUCACCACGAUCAUGAUCACCAUGACCA